rnacentral:rRNA from 1 species
UACGUAGGGUGCAAGCGUUGUCCGGAAUUAUUGGGCGUAAAGAGCUCGUAGGCGGCUUGUCGCGUCGGCUGUGAAAACCUGGGGCUCAACCCCGGGCCUGCAGCCGAUACGGGCAAGCUAGAGUUCGGUAGGGGAGACUGGAAUUCCUGGUGUAGCGGUGAAAUGCGCAGAUAUCAGGAGGAACACCGGUGGCGAAGGCGGAUCUCUGGGCCUUACCUGACGCUCAGGUGCGAAAGCUAGGGGAGCGAACAGG